rnacentral:rRNA from 1 species
UACGUAGGGCGCAAGCGUUGUCCGGAAUUAUUGGGCGUAAAGAGCUCGUAGGCGGUCUGUCGCGUCGGCUGUGAAAGCCCGGGGCUCAACCCCGGGGCUGCAGUCGAUACGGGCAGGCUAGAGUGCGGUAGGGGAGACUGGAAUUCCUGGUGUAGCGGUGGAAUGCGCAGAUAUCAGGAGGAACACCGAUGGCGAAGGCAGAUCUCUGGGCCGUAACUGACGCUGAGGAGCGAAAGCGUGGGGAGCAAACAGG